AUGUCAAAACAAUUUACACGUUUUUUUUUUUUUUUUUAUCCCAAUGAUCUUUAUGUGUUGCAAUUUAUCACAAUCCUUCCACGUUCAGUAUGGACGUGUGUUAAAGCGCACUGUUCAACCCACAUAUUUUUUCUGAGGAGUUUCCUCACAAGAACUGAAGAAAGCAGCCACAGAUUCACACAUUUCACCAGUGCGAUAAUGAUUCGCCUGAUUGUGUUGGCGUUGACCCUUAAUAUAGUUGUUGGCAGCGAUGAACUCACCUUCGUCACCGCAAGUUGCAGAGAUGACAUAACGUUACACUGUACUUUCCAUAAAACCUGUCAGAACUACACCUCUGUUACGUGGUACAAGUUCCACAAUAACAGCAGUGACAGAGCUACAAAAAUGACAAUCGUCAUAAAAUCAGAAAAUGUCAUCCAGACUGAUAAGCAUAACAAUUCUGUGUCACUGGAUAAAAAUGCAUCUUUGGUCUUAAGGAAAGUUGCUCCUGCCAAUUCUGGGAUCUACAUGUGUUUAACAAGAGCCAAAGCUGGAGGAACGAACUGUCAAAAACGGGUUAGACUUAAUAUCUCAGAUUGUGUGUCAACAGCUUCACCCAUCAUCUUUGAUUUCUCCACCGCGUUUAUUAAUGAAUCAUGGGCAAACAUUGGCAUCCCAUUGCCUCAUGUAAAUGAUGAUUCAGUGCUCUUUGUCCUUUGGGGUUGUGUAGGAUUAGCUCUGAGUAAACUUGUCCUCAGUGCCAUUUGCAUAUGGGUUUUCAAGGAACUCAGUAAACUUAAAAGAAGACAGACUUAA
ensembl:lncRNA